AUGGCAAGAACAAUGGACUGACCAGACCAUCUGAAAUCCCUGGAACUACAUGAUAUCAGAUCCCUAACAACGCACAUAAUACCUACAAAGUAGCUGAUGCAAAAAUAAGUCCAAAAAUAGUUAUUUAUUUUUCUAAACCCAAAAUACAGUUAGGGAGACCUCGAGACAGAUAGUUUACAGGUCGGUGAAAGAGGCUGGUGACAAAAUUGAGACACCACAAUACCUACAGAUAUGACAAAGACAUGAGAAACGGUUGACCUGGCAAUGUUGUUCAGUGUUAAAACAAUCCCAAAAAUGACAUUGAGAAAUCUAUCCUGGCCUAGAGAAAUGAGCUUAGACGGACUUUACAGAAUGCUAAUUCAUGCACUAAACUUCUCCCAGAAAUAAUCAUGUAUUGCAGAUUGAGUAAUUAGCGGUGUUGCGUCAAGAACUAUAGAGAAUUCUUGUUUGCAUUAGUACAAACAAUAAAAUCAAAAGGCAGGCAUGACUGUGUUCACAAGAGAGAAAUGCCAACUUGUUCUUAUUCACCAAAUUCUUCUGCUGGAUUAUUCCUCUUCUUUCUCAGAUCUGCACACAUCUGUUCAGAGAAGCCAGAUAUUAGGAAAUCAAACCAGAGUGACAAAGGAUGGAGCACCUAACAGAGGUUUGUGAACUACCUCUUCAUGCCACGCCAUAAGAUGAUUACUUUCAGCCAGAUUGAUUCCAUGUUUCUGUGAAUAAAACAUAUUGCACGUGACUGGAUCUUAAUGUUAUAGAUUAGCAAGCAUCUCUAGAUUCAAUCACCAUAUAUAUCUUACUCCUAAAGUUACAGGGUAACCGUAAUCAUCUACUUACAAUUUCCAAGACAUUCUUUAUAAAUGUUAUACUACAUGGCACAUGCCUAUGUCCAAAAGGGCAAUAAUAUGCAACUCAAGGAUCAUAUUCAUGUGGUGCCGUAAUUGCAUCCCACAAAAAGAAACCUAUAGGCCUAAGAAACAGAGUAAAUAUCAAUAAUACAUCAUUACCAUGAAAGAAUUUCUCUCCUAGAAAUUCAUAUCAAAGAGAGUGUGCACAGAAGCAACCCAUACAGGUCAACUCAAGAUAUUUAAAUGAACGUAUUCAAAGAUAUUCCACGACCUUAUUUACGGAAUUUAGACAAUUUUUGCUGCCAAGGUUAGAGCAUUGCCUAGUCUGUUUCUGGCACAAAAACAAUCUUAACCCAGCCUGCAGCUGAAUAACGUGAAAUAAGAUUUAAGAAUAAGACCAAUAAUUAGUACGUGUUGUACAAAGAAAUCUUAGCUACAGAAGGAGUUUUGUGAACAAAUUAAGAUAGUUAAAUGAGUGAAAGGACAGUACCAGAUGACCCCGGCUCCCAGCUCACUGCACACAGAAAUUUGCUAACUUAUUUCCAGGAUCAAACAAUUUGGAAGCUUUGUAUUGUACAAUAAGAAAACCCAAAAGAAGUUUCAUGAUUGCAAUCUAAUUAAAGAACAUGUCCUCCUCAGUCAGAGAUUCAUUUAAUAAAAAAGAGAGAAAGGAUCAAGAGCACAUCACACAGGUCUACUGAGAUCAGGAGCGGACAAGAACAACGGGCAUUCAUGUUUCAUCAUCAAUGCCUCCUAUAAUAUACGCAAUCUGUAAAAAAUGUGAACCUAAAAAUGUGGUGAAACCAAAAGAAAACACACUGUAAAUAGAUGUAAAAGGGACAUGCUCGUUAAACUUUGCAAUCCCUUCCAAGGAACUUUUUAUGAAAAGAAAAUUUCGAGUAAGUACAAGAAGUGUCCAGUCUUCCGAACACAUGUGCUGGGAAUGGACUACAAAACAAGCCAGUGUUCUCAAAUUAUGUUUGGUACUACACCGAGCUUCUUAAAUCAUGAGGAAAUUGGACCCUCCACAACACUGUCCAAUGCACACUGCACGGGGUCCUGGAGUUCCGCAAAAAAUUGGAAUCAACGCCAGAAUUCAGUAAGAACCAGUAUAUGAACAUCAGAAUCAAAAUAAGAGAAGGAACAUGUAGUACUCAAGAUGUACAACAACAUACACUUGUAAGAUAUUAUAUAUCUGUAUGAAUGUGCGAAAUACAUGGGGCUCUAAACUAUGAAUCAAUUAUUAAGUAAUAAUGUUACUUUGGCCACUUCAUUGCUUCACUGUCCUUAUCUCAGGACAACAUGUCGUGCAUAUUUAGAAACCAUGACAUCUAUAUCAACUGCACUAAUAUGGCAAACAAUCAGUUAACUGAAUUAUCUAUUAUACCAUGAUUUAAUGUGACACAAGAGGACAAAGAGGAGACAACUUAAAUGAACAAAUUAUCUGUCUAAUACUUCCAACAUAAACAAAGAAGCCGCAACCAAAGUGUGAGAAUCGGAAGGGAAUACUGAAGCGAACAUGGGUGCAAAGAAAUACAUGACUGAACUGGAGAAAAUGAAAGCAGACCACUCCAAAACAAUAAGAAACCUAUAGUCGUUAAUGCACAAACUAAAUCUCAUUGAGGAGGAGAUUUAGCCUAGUCUGUUUCUGGCACAAUUACAAUCUCAUUGAGGUGGAGAUUUAGCCAUGGAAGGACUAUAGUAGCCAUGAAUCACAAACUAUAGUCAUAACCUGCAGAUGAAAAGAAGAGCUCACCUGCAGAUUGGGACCCUCGAUGUAGCCAUGGAAGGCUAGCCAUACAUGGUGGUGCUUCGAAGCCAAAACCCAAGGCAACAGUGGCAAGGUCCCGCCUAACAACGCCCCAUUUCCUCUUA
rnacentral:lncRNA from 1 species